CUUGUAAAUUUGUUUGAGUUCAUUGUAGAUUCUGGAUAUUAGCCCUUUGUCAGAUGAGUAGGUUGUGAAAAUUUUCUCCCAUUCUGUAGGUUGUCUGUUCACUCUGAUGGUAGUUUCUAGAAUGAGAUCGGAGGAGCAAUGUCUGCUGUGUGGUAAUGAAUGGCUCACAAACCCAGAGGAAGACAGAGAGACAGAGACAGAAACAGAGAAAGGGAAAGAAAGACAGAGACAGAGAUUUAUUUCUUUCUUUUCAACAGGUUGAACUUAUUUUUCACUAUAUGAAGCUAUAUAUAAAAUAAGAGAAAAUUCAGAACUCUUCAAUAAAUAGCAAUAAUUUAAAAUUAUGCUGAAGUUAGAGAUGAUUAGUUGCCCAAUAAUGUUUAAUUUGAAAAAAAUCAUGAAAUUAUAUAUUCAUCCAUCUGCCAAAUGUUUUGUUAGAGUGAUAGCAAUGAAUGUGUAUUAUGAGAAAUUUUGAGAGUUCUUGUUUUAAUAUUUGAAUGUUGAUUCACUAAAAACACAUGAGCAUAUUAAUGUAAACUGUUUAAUUUUUUCUCUUCAAAUAAAAUGUCAAUUAUUUUUUUCCCUGAAUAUUUUAACCCUUUCCAGAGUUUAAGCCUUACUAGUCACUGAUUUUUAUGAAAUAAUAUCCUUACUUAAACAAAAUUAAGUUAUAUAGGAAAUUGACCAUUUUUCAAUCAAAUUAGCCCAGGCUCAUAAUUUAACAAAAAGGUGCACUUUGCAUUCUGUUUAUUGGUUAUGUAUACAGGGAAGUGAAAGAACAUGGCCAGAAAUCAUUAACAGUGGGGUGUGUGUGCACACGUGUGGGGGUCUGUGCUAAGGUUUGAGUGAGAAUAAUAACAUGAGUAUUUAGCCUCUAAUAUUAGUUAAAAAAAAAAAAAACAGGGAUACUUUUCAGUAGUUUUUUAAAAAACAAAUAUGCCACACAGACUUUAUACCCUAAGAUGAAAGUAAACUCAACUUUCAUCAAGACUUUUUGGCAAAAAAAUGUUAUAGAAGUUGAUGGAUAUUAUCAUAUGAAACAGCAGCAACUGCUUUCAGUGAAAUAAGAUGUCUGAACUAAGCCUCUUUCCUUCUCUCUUAUUCUGUUUCUUCCUUUGGCCCUAUUUUUUAUUUAACGUGGGGUAUAUAGGAAUCUACUGGGUUUUUUUUUCUUAAAAAUUGUUCUAAAAUUAAAAAGUUUAUGUAAAAGUUGCAUAAGAAAAAAGGAAAAUAAAAUUUUAAAAACAAAUAAUUAAUAUAUUAGAAAAUGUAAAGUUAAAGUUGUAAGAAAAUAACAGAAAAGUCUGGUUCUUUAUAAAAUAUAAUCAC
rnacentral:lncRNA from 1 species